UAGCCACCGUUUCAUUCUCGUUAAAAAAAAUGUUAACGCUGUACUGUAAAAAUAAAUAAAAUAUCUUAGCCUAGUUGGUAAUGUAUCAAACUAUCAAUUGUUUCUUUUUUCUUAUUAAAAAACUUGGUACUAAAACCAUGUAUAGACAGAUUUAUUUCCUUUAUGUAUAAUUUGAAUACAAAUAGUACUAUGUAUAGAAGUGUCGAGUCCUAUGGACAUACACUGCUAUCCUUCCAUUGGUAA